GCACCAUCGCUUCCUCAUUUGAUUUUAUGCAGUAGCCAACGUUAGGAGUUAUUCUCACAUCGUGUUUGGCAGCCGGCUUCAUAGCAAUACCAUUCUCACUUCAACAUCAUGGAUCAGGUAUCAAUUUUGCUAAUAGUUCGCAUUUGGGGGAAAUGAUGAGAUGGUGACUUUCUUUCUUCGAUUGUACUUGCCAAGGAUUUUAAAUAAUUGGAAUUAGACCCUUGUCUACAAAAAGUUUCUACUAAAUAUCAGGAUUGAGUCGCGAUGGCGACUGAAGAGGCAUUUGAACCUUUUACCUGUGGUGAAAAGAGGAAAGAAGCUGUGGUAUCGUUCAUCACUACAGAUAGCGAGGAUGAUGCAUCUGUUAAGACGAAGCGAAACAUCUGGCGUACGGCAUCGAUGUUAUCGCCUUGCGAAAAGGUCUUAUCCUUUCUUGAUUGCGAAGAAAAAACUGAAUUUAUGAGAGUAAAGCCUCUUGAAAUCAGUACAAAAUUAGAGCCGGAGAAGAAAUACCUCUGCUUAAAAUAUGGACCUAAAAAGAAACCCAUGUUCAUCCAUCUGGAUUUCACAGACGAGUCACGGUAGA